rnacentral:rRNA from 1 species
UACGGAGGGUGCAAGCGUUAUCCGGAUUUACUGGGUUUAAAGGGUGCGUAGGUGGGUUGGUAAGUCAGUGGUGAAAUACUUUCGCUUAACGAAGGAACUGCCAUUGAUACUACCAGUCUUGAAUACAGUGGAGGUAGGCGGAAUGCGUCAUGUAGCGGUGAAAUGCUUAGAUAUGACGCAGAACACCAAUUGCGAAGGCAGCUUGCUACACUGUUAUUGACACUGAGGCACGAAAGCGUGGGGAUCGAAACAAGG